rnacentral:rRNA from 1 species
AGAGCGAACGCUGGCGGCAGGCUUAACACAUGCAAGUCGAACGGGCUUCUUCGGAAGUCAGUGGCAGACGGGUGAGUAACACGUGGGAACGUGCCCUUCGGUUCGGAAUAACUCAGGGAAACUUGAGCUAAUACCGGAUACGCCCUUACGGGGAAAGGUUUACUGCCGAAGGAUCGGCCCGCGUCUGAUUAGCUUGUUGGUGGGGUAACGGCCUACCAAGGCGACGAUCAGUAGCUGGUCUGAGAGGAUGAUCAGCCACACUGGGACUGAGACACGGCCCAGACUCCUACGGGAGGCAGCAGUGGGGAAUAUUGGACAAUGGGCGCAAGCCUGAUCCAGCCAUGCCGCGUGAGUGAUGAAGGCCUUAGGGUUGUAAAGCUCUUGUGUCCGGGACGAUAAUGACGGUACCGGAAGAAUAAGC